rnacentral:lncRNA from 1 species
GAACCUCAUAAUAUUGUGGGAGGACUCAUUUGGUGGGUUUUGAGAGAAAUCCAAUCUCUAGAACUAUACAACACACCAGCCACUACAUUUCAUAACGAACUUCGUAUGAACCUUAAUUGUCCAAUUUCAUGGACCAAUCGAUAUCGGAUUCACUCGAAAACGUGGGGAACAUCAUAAUUUUCUAGGAGAAGUCAUUUUGUGAGUUUUGAGAGAAAUCCAAUGGCUAAAACAUUGCAACACAUCAACCACUCAUUUCAGAACGAACUUUGUACGAACCUGAAUUGUGCGAUUUCAGGGACCA